rnacentral:lncRNA from 1 species
CACAAAAGCAGGACAGUCAGACUUUUGUGGCCAAGAUCUCCUCACCUCCUUGGUUCCCAAACCCCCUGGGUGUCAGUCCACCCACCCCAUGAGUGCUCCUGGGGGUGGAAAACUCCAGGGCCCUGGGAGAAUUUCAGGAGAAAGAAGGCGUUUAGGGCAGAGUGAAUUACACUUUUAAGAACAAGAGGGCACCGUGCCCUCAGAUGAAAAUUGUUUCAUAGAUUGCAAACAAUUCCUGUAAUGCCUGGGUUUGACCUCCUGUAACUUUGUCUCCCAACUAUAUGGAAACCAUAUGCAGCCGUUAGUCUUUCUAAAGAUUAACUUCUUGAAGUGACCAGGCCAUGACUCAUGACCCAACCCCACCCCUCAGUCUGCUGUGACUCAUCGAAGAAGCCAGAUAAACUGAACGCUGAACGACAGCAAUGGGAGAGGAGACUGUCUCUCCCUUGCUGGCUUGAAGAAGCAAGCUGCCAUGUCAUAAGCUUUCAUGUGGAGAGGACUACGCAGCAACCAGCACAGGGCAGCCUCUAGCCAACAGCCAGCAAGAGACUAAGGCUCAGUCUGCUACCUACAAGGAACCGAACACUGCCAACAAUCACAUGGACUUGGAAGCAGAUCUUUUCUUAGUUGAG